UACGUAGGGUGCAAGCGUUGUCCGGAAUUAUUGGGCGUAAAGAGCUCGUAGGCGGUGCGUCACGUCGGCCGUGAAAACCUGGGGCUUAACUCUGGGCGUGCGGUCGAUACGGGCAUCACUGGAGUUCGGCAGGGGAGACUGGAAUUCCUGGUGUAGCGGUGAAAUGCGCAGAUAUCAGGAGGAACACCGGUGGCGAAGGCGGGUCUCUGGGCCGAUACCUGACGCUGAGGAGCGAAAGCGUGGG
rnacentral:rRNA from 1 species